rnacentral:rRNA from 1 species
UACGUAGGGGGCAAGCGUUGUCCGGAUUUAUUGGGCGUAAAGAGCGUGUAGGCGGCCGUACAGGUCAGCUGUGAAAACUCGAGGCUCAACCUCGAGACGUCGGUUGAAACCGUACGGCUAGAGUCCGGAAGAGGAGAGUGGAAUUCCCGGUGUAGCGGUGAAAUGCGCAGAUAUCGGGAAGAACACCCGUGGCGAAGGCGGCUCUCUGGGACGGUACUGACGCUGAGACUCGAAAGCGUGGGGAGCGAACAGG